UGGGGAAUAUUGCACAAUGGGCGCAAGCCUGAUGCAGCCAUGCCGCGUGUAUGAAGAAGGCCUUCGGGUUGUAAAGUACUUUCAGCGGGGAGGAAGGGAGUAAAGUUAAUACCUUUGCUCAUUGACGUUACCCGCAGAAGAAGCACCGGCUAACUCCGCGCCAGCAGCCGCGGUAAUACGGAGGGUGCAAGCGUUAAUCGGAAUUACUGGGCGUAAAGCGCACGCAGGCGGUUUGUUAAGUCAGAUGUGAAAUCCCCGGGCUCAACCUGGAAACUGCACCUGGUACUGGGAGGCUUAAGUGUCGUAGAGGGGGUUGGAAUUCCAGGGGUAGCGGUGAAAUGCGUAGAGAUCUGGAGGAAUACCGGUGGCGAGGGCGGCCCCCUGACGAAGACUGACGCUCAGGUGCGAAAGCGUGGGGAGCAAACAGG
rnacentral:rRNA from 1 species